ensembl:lncRNA AKT3-IT1 AKT3 intronic transcript 1
GGGCAUUUGUAAGUUCCCAGGGAAACCUAAUCACAUUGUAUAGUAUUUUUUAAUGAAGAAACACUAGCUGGGUACAGUGGCUUAUGCCUGUAAUCCCAGCACUUUGGGAGGCCAAGGUAGAUGAAUAGCUUGAGUCCAGAAGCUGGUCUUGAACCCCUGGCCUCAAGAGAUCCUCUCACUUCAGCCUCCCAUAGCAUGUGGGAUUAUAGGUGUGAGCUACUGUGCCCAGCUGUUGUUUUCAGUUUUACUCUUCUGUGGUAUGUGGUAAGAGGGAGCAUUUGUUUUCUAGAGCCUGCAGCAUGUGUGGGUCAGUUGAAAAUGUAUAAAAAUUUUGAGUUACGCACGGUGGCUUGUGCCUGUAAUCCCAAUACUUUGGGAGGCUGAGGAGGGAGGACUGCUUGUGCCAGGAGUUUAAGACUAGCCUGGGCAACAUAGUGAGACCCUGUCCCUAAAAAUAUGUAAAAAAAAUUUUAAAAUAAAAAUUUUGAAAUGCAAUUUGUGUCUUAAAAUUCUGCCU